UGGGCAACCUGCCCCCAGACACUGGGAUAACUCCGGGAAACCGGGGCUAAUACCGGAUACUCUCAGCCGACCGCAUGACCGGCUGAGGAAAGCUCCGGCGGUCUGGGAUGGGCCCGCGGCCUAUCAGCUUGUUGGUGGGGUAACGGCCUACCAAGGCGACGACGGGUAGCUGGUCUGAGAGGAUGGCCAGCCACAUUGGGACUGAGACACGGCCCAGACUCCUACGGGAG
rnacentral:rRNA from 1 species